UCCCUGGUGGCUCAGAGGUUAAAGUGUCUGCCUCCAAUGCAGGAGACCUGGGUUUGAUCCCUGGGUUGGGAA
rnacentral:tRNA from 1 species